CAGCCCCUCGAGUGGUGGGGAUGAUUAUUGGGCCUAAAGCGUCCGUAGCCUGCCGUAUAAGUUUCCCGUUAAAUCCAGCGUCUCAAGCGUUGGACCGCGGGAAAUACUGUAAGGCUAGAGAGUGGGAGAGGUCAGCGGUAUUCUGGGGGUAGGGGCGAAAUCCUUUGAUCCCCGGAGGACCACCAGUGGCGAAGGCUGCUGUCUAGAACACGUCUGACGGUCAGGGACGAAAGCUGGGGUAGCGAACCGGAUUAGAUACCCGAGUAGUCC
rnacentral:rRNA from 1 species